rnacentral:rRNA from 1 species
CCUACGGGGUGCAGCAGUGGGGAAUAUUGCACAAUGGGCGCAAGCCUGAUGUAGCCAUGCCGCGUGUGUGAAGAAGACCUUCGGGUUGUAAAGCACUUUCAGCGGGGAGGAAGGCGAUAAGGUUAAUAACCUUGUCGAUUGACGUUACCCGCAGAAGAAGCACCGGCUAACUCCGUGCCAGCAGCCGCGGUAAUACGGAGGGUGCAAGCGUUAAUCGGAAUUACUGGGCGUAAAGCGCACGCAGGCGGUCUGUCAAGUCGGAUGUGAAAUCCCCGGGCUUAACCUGGGAACUGCAUUCGAAACUGGCAGGCUAGAGUCUUGUAGAGGGGGGUAGAAUUCCAGGUGUAGCGGUGUGAUGCGUAGAGAUCUGGAGGAAUACCGGUGGCGAAGGCGGCCCCCUGGACAAAGACUGACGCUCAGGUGCGAAAGCGUGGGGAGCAGACAGGAUUAGAUACCCUUGUAGUC